UACGAAGGGGGCGAGCGUUGUCCGGAUUUAUUGGGCGUAAAGAGCUCGUAGGCGGUUCGGCAAGUCAGAUGUAAAAACUCCAGGCUCAACUUGGAGAGGCCAUCUGAUACUGCCGUGACUAGAGUCCGGUAGAGGAGCACGGAAUUCCUGGUGUAGCGGUGAAAUGCGCAGAUAUCAGGAGGAACACCAGCGGCGAAGGCGGUGCUCUGGGCCGGAACUGACGCUGAGGAGCGAAAGCGUGGGGAGCGAACAGG
rnacentral:rRNA from 1 species